rnacentral:rRNA from 1 species
UACGUAGGUGACAAGCGUUGUCCGGAUUUACUGGGCGUAAAGAGCGCGCAGGCGGUCGGUCAAGUCGAGUGUGAAAGCCCCCGGCUCAACUGGGGAGGGUCAUUCGAUACUGAUCGACUCGAAGGCAGGAGAGGGUAGUGGAAUUCCCGGUGUAGUGGUGAAAUACGUAGAUAUCGGGAGGAACACCAGUGGCGAAGGCGACUACCUGGCCUGUUCUUGACGCUGAGGCGCGAAAGCUAGGGGAGCAAACGGGG